GACGAACGCUGGCGGCGUGCUUAACACAUGCAAGUCGAGCGGUAAGGCCCUUUCGGGGGUACACGAGCGGCGAACGGGUGAGUAGCACGUGGGUGACCUGCCCUCAGCUCUGGGAUAAGCCUGGGAAACCGGGUCUAAUACUGGAUAUGACUCCAUGACGCAUGUUGUGGGGUGGAAAGCCUUGUGCGGCUGAGGAUGGGCCCGCGGCCUAUCAGCUUGUUGGUGGGGUGAUGGCCUACCAAGGCGACGACGGGUAGCCGGCCUGAGAGGGCGGCCGGCCACACUGGGACUGAGACACGGCCCAGACUCCUACGGGAGGCAGCAGUGGGGAAUCUUGCGCAAUGGGCGAAAGCCUGACGCAGCGACGCCGCGUGAGGGAUGACGGCCUCGGU
rnacentral:rRNA from 1 species